rnacentral:lncRNA from 1 species
CGCUGUGGGCACCGGGACCGGCCCCGCCCCCGCGCCGCGUGACCGCCCCGCCUCGCGGAGGUGUCAGCGCGGUUCUCGCGAGAGGUGACGGAAGCCCGCGGGGGACCCGGCCUUUAAUGUGCGGUCCGGCGGCGUUGCGGGAAACAGAAAAUAUAGCUCCAGUCCCUCUAGAUGUUAUCUGGAAUCUCUUUACAAGGGAUUACCUCACACAAUUCCAUGUGGCCUGCAGUCAAAUAAUGUUACAAAGAUGAGGAAAUGAAUUUAUCUCCAACUUUUUUCCAGUACAUCCAGAAGAAUCAGAUACUGUAUUCCUACACAUCUCUGAGGUAAUCAGUCUGAAAUUAUUUGCUUUUGCUUACUUGACAUGUCUUGUGUCUAGUGCCCAGAUGUGUACCAGAAGUUUACAUUCUUAGGAUGGUUAGACAGUUUGAGAAUCCUUGCAACUCUACAUGACCAGUAUGCUGGGCAUGACAUGGGUUUAUUCUGCCUGUGAUCUUUAAUCAUAAAAACAUCUUUAUUCAUCUUUAUUUCCUUGAUCAAUCUAAAUAGUGUUCAGAACUAUCAUUGUUAGUUCUCCAUACAAAUACUCAUUUAAAGAUGAAUGUAUUUCCUCCAAGGCAAAGCCACAGAUGCCACAACUAAUUAAAGGAUGUAGUGAAGUAAACUAUUUAUUUGAAAAAUUGUUGUGUUUCAUGGGUGAAUAGUGGACAUUUUCUCAUUUAUAUUUACAAAAUCAUUCAUUAUUAUAUUUUUAGCAUGCAUAG